rnacentral:rRNA from 1 species
AACGUAGGUGACGAGCGUUAUCCGGAAUCACUGGGCGUAAAGGGCGUCUAGGCGGUCGGGUCAGUCGUGUGUGAAAGCCCCCGGCUCAACUGGGGGAGGACAUGCGAAACUGCCGGGCUUGAGGGUCAGAGAGGGAUGCGGAAUUCCCGGUGUAGUGGUGAAAUGCGUAGAGAUCGGGAGGAACACCCGUGGCGAAAGCGGCAUCCUGGCUGACACCUGACGCUGAAGCGCGAAAGCGUGGGGAGCGAACGGG